UAAACCUGAAAAUUCCAUUCCAGAACGGCAAACCUCACCAUGCUUACAUAUACAUGAACACGCACAAUAUACGUCUUAUUUUAACUAAAUUCUCCCUACUUGCCUAUAAAUCAAGCACAGCCCAACCAUAUCAUAUGCAAAACAAACACCUAUACUACAGCUAAUUUCGCCUCCUUCUAAAUCAAUACCUGUCGCCUUUCAAUGUCGAUCUCAUCAUCCAAACUUGGCCAAAGGAGCCAAGUCACUGCAGCCAACCUAGCAAACUUGUUGCCAACAGGCACAGUCCUUGCAGCUGAAUCCCUAAUACCUUCAUUCACAAACAACGGUGAAUGUACACUUGCGAACGAAUACCUUACCUUAGGUAUCAUUGUGUGUUGUUCACUAGGUUGUUUUCUUUCCUCCUUUACUGAUAGCUUCACUGGCAAGGAUGGCAAGAUGUACUAUGGCAUAGCCACAUGGAACAGUUUCCAUAUAUUCAAUGAUAUCGAUAGUGAUGAUGGUGCAGGAAGGGAAGAAACGACCAAAGAGUUCUUGGCUGCCUGAGCUAAUGAGAAAGCACUUAUCAUGAAUUUGCCGUUAGGAGCUGGGUUCUUGGCAAGCUUUUUGUUCAUGUUAUUUCCUACCAAACGAAGAGGAAUUGGCUACGCCGACACAGCACCUGUGAAAAAAGAAGGCAUAAUUAAAGAGUCUGCAUAAUUAAAGAUCGCAUAGCACUGCAUAAGGGCCUGAAAAGUAUGUUCUUCAUAUUGUGUACUACUCAAUAUCAGGAUGAUCAUAUGAGAAACUUGAAUCAGUUCAUGUACAAGAGAGGUGAAUGGAAAAGUAUGAAGUAGCCGCGAUGUUCAUUAACAAAAUAUAUUUCUUCACCUAGCCUUCGGAGCUAAAAAUUACUUCACCAUUAACUCUUGAGUAGAACUGUAGUAAAUGAUGCUAGCUUGUAAUGGAAAUUAAAUUCAAGAUCUUCCUAGUUUUAAGUA